AGUGGCGAACGGGUGAGUAACACGUGAGUAACCUGCCCUUGACUCUGGGAUAAGCCUGGGAAACUGGGUCUAAUACCGGAUACGACCAUCUGACGCAUGUCAUGGUGGUGGAAAGCUUUUGUGGUUUUGGAUGGACUCGCGGCCUAUCAGCUUGUUGGUGGGGUAAUGGCCUACCAAGGCGACGACGGGUAGCCGGCCUGAGAGGGUGACCGGCCACACUGGGACUGAGACACGGCCCAGACUCCUACGGGAGGCAGCAGUGGGGAAUAUUGCACAAUGGGCGCAAGCCUGAUGCAGCGACGCCGCGUGAGGGAUGACGGCCUUCGGGUUGUAAACCUCUUUCAGUAGGGAAGAAGCGAAAGUGACGGUACCUGCAGAAGAAGCGCCGGCUAACUACGUGCCAGCAGCCGCGGUAAUACGUAGGGCGCAAGCGUUAUCCGGAAUUAUUGGGCGUAAAGAGCUCGUAGGCGGUUUGUCGCGUCUGCUGUGAAAGACCGGGGCUCAACUCCGGUUCUGCAGUGGGUACGGGCAGACUAGAGUGCAGUAGGGGAGACUGGAAUUCCUGGUGUAGCGGUGAAAUGCGCAGAUAUCAGGAGGAACACCGAUGGCGAAGGCAGGUCUCUGGGCUGUAACUGACGCUGAGGAGCGAAAGCAUGGGGAGCGAACAGGAUUAGAUACCCUGGUAGUCCAUGCCGUAAACGUUGGGCACUAGGUGUGGGGGACAUUCCACGUUUUCCGCGCCGUAGCUAACGCAUUAAGUGCCCGCCUGGGGAGUACGGCCGCAAGGCUAAAACUCAAAGGAAUUGACGGGGGCCCGCACAAGCGGCGGAGCAUGCGGAUUAAUUCGAUGCAACGCGAAGAACCUUACCAAGGCUUGACAUGAACCGGAAAGACCUGGAAACAGGUGCCCCGCUUGCGGUCGGUUUACAGGUGGUGCAUGGUUGUCGUCAGCUCGUGUCGUGAGAUGUUGGGUUAAGUCCCGCAACGAGCGCAACCCUCGUUCUAUGUUGCCAGCGCGUUAUGGCGGGGACUCAUAGGAGACUGCCGGGGUCAACUCGGAGGAAGGUGGGGACGACGUCAAAUCAUCAUGCCCCUUAUGUCUUGGGCUUCACGCAUGCUACAAUGGCCGGUACAAAGGGUUGCGAUACUGUGAGGUGGAGCUAAUCCCAAAAAGCCGGUCUCAGUUCGGAUUGGGGUCUGCAACUCGACCCCAUGAAGUCGGAGUCGCUAGUAAUCGCAGAUCAGCAACGCUGCGGUGAAUACGUUCCCGGGCCUUGUACACACCGCCCGUCAAGUCACGAAAGUUGGUA
rnacentral:rRNA from 1 species